CAGCACAGGAUCCCUGUACUACAUUUUUAUUAUUGGAGAGGGGGUCUUAGGGUUAUAUUCUCCAAUUAGUCUUACCAUCCUUUGUAGAUAUAUAAAAUCUUCAAUGAAUGGAAACAAGCAAUCUAACUGAUGAAAGGAGGCGUUGAAGCUUGAGCGGUACUACUUCUAUUUAAAUCUCACUUCUUAGAUGCUCGCUCAUCUCUCAAAAUACGAGAAAGAGAGAUCUCUACUAGGAGUCAGUUUGGGAGAGGAGAGCGACCCCAACCCCCCGGUGAUCCUGAGUAAUUACGAUCGAACAAACCACUGUAGCUUUGUUCAUUCUCCAAGAACGGAUCGACCAACUAGACCUUGUCAUGGUGGAUGUCAACAUUCCAGAAAUAGACUCUUUGAGUUCAUCAAGUCUACUCAACAUCAAAGACACACCUAUUAUUUGUAAGAACAUUUUCUCAAAAUCUUAAUUAUUGUAUAUUGUUUAGUAUGCACUAGUCAGAAUUGUAUUUAAAUAUGUUAAUAUCGCACAUGAUUAUUAAACUUUAUCUACUAUAAUAGUAAAGUCAAAACUUAUUUGUUGGUCACAUUAAGUGACAAACUCUACCUACUACAAGGAAAAAGUUACUAAACUUUACUCACAAUUACGGUAAAGUUAUAAAAUAAUUUUGUCACAUUGAAUUAAAUUAACCGAACUUACCCAUUAUAUAAGAAAAGUAGGGUUCUUUACAUUUUGCACCCCUGAUGUAUGCUUUCUUUUGUGAUUUGCACCCAAUCCUAUUAUUAUUAGUGAUUAACACCCUAAUCUUUUAAUUUUUAAAAAAUAAUAAAACCACUAUUCUCUUGAAUUAUACAUGAGGGCAACA